AAGUCGUAACAAGGUUUCCGUAGGUGAACCUGCGGAAGGAUCAUUACAGUGUCUUGGAGGCCGAUGUUCCGGCGCUUCCCCACGGGGGCGUCAGGGCUCGUGCCCCCUCCACACGUGUUUACUAGACUCUGUUGCCUUGGUGGGUCUGCCCUUGUGGCUGCUGGGGAUCACCGCGUGUGUCCCGAGCCCGUACCCACCGAUGGACACCCUGAACUCUUUGUGAAUAUAGUGUUGUCUGAGCGUUUAGCAAAUGAAACAAAACUUUCAACAAUGGAUCUCUUGGUUCUG
rnacentral:misc_RNA from 1 species